rnacentral:lncRNA from 1 species
AUGCACUUACUUUACUUUUUCAUGUUUGGAUCCGACUACCGCACAGAUCACUUAACUCUCUUUAGAUGUUUCACGCAGGUAUCUCAAGGUCAUACUAAACUAAAUGUCAUUUUUAGUAAUGAUACGUUUUUUGAGAUGUCGCCAUGCACCUGGAGUGAAGAUUUCUUCUAUAUCACUGAGUCUGAGUGUCAUUAUAAUUUGUCAAUUGUCAUCAUUGUCAGUAUGUCUUUAUCUUUUAUCUUUUCUUUCUGUCAGUAAAAAUGUUUAUCUGAUUGUUAGCAAUAAUAAAAAAUCCUGAUUUAGAUAAAAUGGAUUCAAAUACAGUUUUUGAAACAAAACGAAUGUGAUUUGAAGAUCCCUAGGAAGAUCAAAUUCCUAGCUUACAUUUGCAUGGUGAGUUCAACAAGUAUUUGUUAUUAGAGAACAAGUAACACAGUUAGUGUAGUGGUGUAGGGAAGCAAACGAAUGUAACACCAAUUGAAAGUCCUUCAACAAGUAGAGUUGCACACAUGUUUCAAUCAUUUGAGAUACCCUUUUGUAGAAGUAUUUGGAACUCAAUUUGGAAGAUAACUAUUAAUAAUUUCAUUUGUAAAGAUACGAUUUGUAAAAAAGUAUAUACAAAGUGGUUUUGCUGGUAUUAAAUAAAUAAAUAAAAAUACGUUGUCAUGUCUUAUUUUUUCCCAAAUGGUAUUUUGUAUAUUUGAAAUUAAAAAUAAUUUGCAUAUUUUAAAACCAAAUUAUUUUUUUUUUCAACUAUACAAAUAUUUUAACCUAACAUUUUCUUCCCACCAAAAUUACAUUUUGAAAUUCCCGCUUGAAAUUAGUUCCGAUACAAGCGGCAUGGAGCGCUGUUUUUCAUAUUUAACCAAAGCGUUAUCGUGAAACAUCUAGAGGAGGUAGGUGAUAUGUGAUCCCACUCUCAGAAAAAUAUCGCUUUUGACAAGACAUAGGCAAGGUCGAUAUAUCGAUUUCAAGUUCAACUAAAACAGUUCUAUGAUCGGAGACAGAGUUGUCAAGAAUACAUGAUGUACCUAAAUUAGAAAAAUUUACAAAAACAUUAUCAAUUGUUGUUAUGCUGGUAUUUGUUACUCUUGUAGGCCAUUUGACAAGAUUAGUAUGUAUGUUAUAAGUAGAUAAGCAGUUCAGUAAUUUUGUUUGGUUAUUGUUUGACGUUUUCAUAUCAAUAUUAAAGUCACCACAAAUAAUAUAACAUACAUUUGGCUUGUAUAAAUGAUUUAAAAGACAGUCAAGAUUAUUUAUAAAAAUAUUUACAUCUCCACACGGAGAUCGGUAGCAAUUCAAUAUGUAAAAGAUAUUAUUGUUUUUAUCCCUAAUUAAAGAACAACAAAACUC